GGGGUAAUGGGCUAAUUUGGCUAUACUUCGAGCUUCGGGGGUUCGCGAUCUGGGUUCAAAUCCCAGUUACCCCA
rnacentral:tRNA from 1 species